rnacentral:tRNA from 1 species
GGAGAUGUAGCUCAAAAGGUGAGCACCUGCCUAGUGGGCUUGGGGUUCUGAGUUCUAACCUCAGUACUUCCA